rnacentral:rRNA from 1 species
AGCGAACGCUGGCGGCAGGCUUAACACAUGCAAGUCGAGCGGGCGUAGCAAUACGUCAGCGGCAGACGGGUGAGUAACGCGUGGGAACGUACCUUUUGGUUCGGAACAACACAGGGAAACUUGUGCUAAUACCGGAUAAGCCCUUACGGGGAAAGAUUUAUCGCCGAAAGAUCGGCCCGCGUCUGAUUAGCUAGUUGGUGAGGUAACGGCUCACCAAGGCGACGAUCAGUAGCUGGUCUGAGAGGAUGAUCAGCCACAUUGGGACUGAGACACGGCCCAAAGUAGACGGGCAGGCGGGAGCGGCGAAAGUGCGCAGAGGGGGACAAGCGGCAUCAGGGGAAGGGGGGGGGGGGAGGAGGCGCGUGGGUUGGUAAGGCGUUUGGGGGAGGAAAAAAAAUGAAGGGACAGAAACAAAAAGCCCCGGCGAUGGCCGAGACAGCAGCCGGGGUAAUAAGGGGAAGAGCACACGUAUGACC